GGGCGAAUGGUCUAGGGGUAUGAUACUCCCUUCGCAUGAUACCUGGAGUAUUUCAGGCAUCUAGAUUGGGAGGGGUCCGGGGUUCAAUUCCCCGUUCGUCCA